UUUAUCCAAGACUGCUCCCAAAGAUGACAGGAACCCACAGCUGCAAUUGCAGAGAGAGUCCUUGAGCAUGCGCGAAGCAACUGGAAUAUUCUGGAAAUGCAACUGGGAAAAUUCAGGAGUUCACAGCUGAGCAUGUGCAAAGCGCAGCAAGUCAAAGAUGCUGUCUGCUCAGGUCUGCAGCAGUUUUUGGUUACCCUUGGCUUUGCACCCACCUGCUUGAGCUGCUAUUCAGCAUCAGCUUCCAGAGACGGUUGCUUACGCAAUGUCCUGUGGGCCAAAAACCUCAGCAAGGGCAGCAUGUUUUCCUGGCAAGUCAUAUCCUCCCCCUUCAGGUGAUGAACCUGAAGGUCUCACAGUAAGUCAGCUUUUGUCAGGCUUUACAUUUGUAGCAACUGAAUUUUUCUUUAUCCUUC